UAAGGGUGCCGUAAGGUUGAACCUGGCGGAAGGAUCAUUUAUCCGUUUGGGCUCCCUGGCCAUUUCGAGAUAACACCCUUGCCUUUUUGAGUACCUUCUUCGUUUCCUCGGCAGGCACGCCUGCCAACGGGGACCCUUCAAAACGCUUUGUAAUACCUGUCAUUCGUCUGAUAUAACAAGCAAAAAUCAAAACUUUCAACAACGGAUCUCUUAGGUUCUGGCAUCGAUGAAGAACGCAGCGAAAUGCGAUAAGUAGUGUGAAUUGCAGAAUUCAGUGAAUCAUCGAAUCUUUGAACGCACAUUGCGCCCUUUGGUAUUCCUUAGGGCAUGCCUGUUCGAGCGUCAUUUAAACCUUCAAGCUCAGCUUGGUGUGGGUGACUGUCCCCUCCCUUCGCGGGGGGACUCGCCUCAAAAACAUUGGCGGCCGGUACAUUGGCUUCGAGCGCAGCAGAAACGCGGUCUCGAGCCCGGUGGAUCGGCUCCCAUAAGCCUCAUUCUUUAUUUUGACCUCGGAUCAGGUAGGGAUACCCGCUGAACUUAAGCUUAGCG
rnacentral:rRNA from 1 species